AUAGCCUACUUGCCCAAAACACCCCCCUCUUCACGAUAAUUAGACUGUACCUGCUACUCGGUGGUCAUUUUUGUGAUUGUUCAACAAGCUAAACACCUCAAAUCGUCCCAAACUGUCUGCUGUGCACGCAGGGGAGGCAGAAGUAAAACCGCGACAAAGACAAAGGCUGAGAAUGUUCUGACAAAAUUACCCUGACCCUGGUGGAGCACGGAGGAGAAGGAGGGGGCAGCAAACAAGGCAGCUUACCUUUAGAGAUGAAGAUCAGUUCUCAGUUGAAAGUCUGGACGAAUAUAAUGUAUGCAAAACCUGUUUCUAGAAUUUAUUGUAUAUUUCAUACAAAACGACAGGGAUGCAAGUCCAAAAUGACCUUGACCCUGGUGGAGCACGGAGGAGGAGGAGGAGGAGGCAGCAAACACGGCAGCUUACUUUUAGAGUUGGUCUCCUGCUCCUCCCUAAUUUGGGAGUUUUUCAUCCCCAAAAAGCUGAGGCUUUAAAAAAAAUUAAAGUUCCUGUGUCUCUGUCGACUGAGGAGUUCCUUAUUGUUCUUCGAUCAGCCUUUCCACGACUGGGCAGUACUGAAUUUGAUCUGGCCAGGGUUGAUUGCCAUUAAAUCAUCAGUAAAAUUAAUGUUUCUCCUCUCUCACCCUGUGUUCUGAAAGCUAGCCGGGAGCUAAAUCUCUCAGCGUUAUAUUUACUUCUAAAGGUACUGUAGAUAACUUGAGCUAAAAGUUUUGUAAUUUUGACUAUUGAUAAACUUUUUAAUUACCUUAAUCUUUGGGUGGAUUUUCCCGAUAUAGACUUAUGUAUAUUGCAUUAAAAGGAACGUUUGGAGGAGCAGGCAGAAGAACAUAAUGCAAGGAAAUGAAAAGAUGAAGAUCAGUUCUCAGUUGAAAGUCUGGACGAAUAUAAUGUAUGCAAAACCUGUUUCUAGAAUUUAUUGUAUAUUUCAUACAAAAUGACAGGGAUGCAAGUCCAAAAUGACCUUGACCCUGGUGGAGCACGGAGAAGGAGGAGGGGACAGCAAACACGGCAGCUUACUUUUAGAGUUGGUCUCCUGCUCCUCCCUAAUUUGGGAGUUUUUCAUCCCCAAAAAGGUAUGAUAAUGCAUAGGCGAUUGUAAGAUAAUUCUGAAUCAGUAAGUAAACUGUCAAUUUUAUUAGAUUUCUUUUUUUUUUUUUUUUUUUUUUUUUUUGCAGCUGAGGCUUUAAAAAAAAUUAAAGUUCCUGUGUCCCUGUCGACUGAGGAGUUCCUUAUUGUUCUUCGAUCAGCCUUUCCACGACUGGGCAGUACUGAAUUUGAUCUGGCCAGGGUUGAUUGCCAUUAAAUCAUCAGUAAAAUUAAUGUUUCUCCUCUCUCACCCUGCGUUCUGAAAGCCAGCCGGGAGCUAAAUCGCUCAGCGUUAUAUUUACUUCUAAAGGUACUGUAAAAAACUUGAGCUAAAAGUUUUGUAAUUUUGACUAUUGAUAAACUAUUUAAUUACCUUAAUCUUUGGGUGGAGAUUCCCGAUAUAGACUUAUGUAUAUUGCAUUAAAAGGAACGUUUGGAGGAGCAGGCAGAAGAACAUAAUGCAAGGAAAUGAAAAGAUGAAGAUCAGUUCUCAUUUGAAAGUCUGGACGAAUAUAAUGUAUGCAAAACUUGUUUCUAGAAUUUAUUGUAUAUUUCAUACAAAAUGACAGGGAUGCAAGUCCAAAAUGACCUUGACCCUGGUGGAGCACGGAGGAGGAGGAGGGGGCAGCAAACACGGCAGCUUACUUUUAGAGUUGGUCUCCUGCUCCUCCCUAAUUUGGGAGUUUUUCAUCCCCAAAAAGCUGAGUCUUUAAAAAAAAUUAAAGUUCCUGUGUCUCUGUCGCCUGAGGAGUUCCUUGAUGUUCUUCAAUCAGCCUUUCUUCAACUGGGCAGUACUGAAUUUGAUCUGGCCAGGGUUGAUUGCCAUUAAAACAUCAGUAAAAUUAAUGUUUCUUCUCUCUCACCCUGCGUUCUGAAAGCCAGCCGGGAGCUAAAUCUCUCAGCGUUAUAUUUACUACCAAAGGAACAUUUGGAGGAGCAGGCAGAAGAACAUAAUGCAAGGAAAUGAAGAAAAUGAUGAAGAUCAUCUCUGUUGGAUGUUUGGAUGAAGAUAAUAUGCAAAACCAGUUUCUAGAAUUUAUUGUAUAUUUCAAACAAAAU